UGGGGAAUAUUGGACAAUGGGCGAAAGCCUGAUCCAGCCAUACCGCGUGAGUGAUGAAGGCCCUAGGGUUGUAAAGCUCUUUUGUGCGGGAAGAUAAUGACGGUACCGCAAGAAUAAGCCCCGGCUAACUUCGUGCCAGCAGCCGCGGUAAUACGAAGGGGGCUAGCGUUGCUCGGAAUCACUGGGCGUAAAGGGUGCGUAGGCGGGUUUCUAAGUCAGAGGUGAAAGCCUGGAGCUCAACUCCAGAACUGCCUUUGAUACUGGAAGUCUUGAGUUCGGGAGAGGUGAGUGGAACUGCGAGUGUAGAGGUGAAAUUCGUAGAUAUUCGCAAGAACACCAGUGGCGAAGGCGGCUCACUGGCCCGAUACUGACGCUGAGGCACGAAAGCGUGGGGAGCAAACA
rnacentral:rRNA from 1 species